CAAGUUUCCGCUGCGUCUGUAUUCAGUAAUACAUGUAAAACUGUUUAAGGAAUACAAGCUCUCCAGUUUAGAUUGGAAACUCAGAACAACAGGCGUUUCAGAGCAGGACGUGGUGAUGAGCAAGGAAGAGUAGGACGUGAUUUCUGUCACUGCUUCCUGGGAUGAGGACUCCUUCCCAAGGUAAGAGACACAAGAACAAGACCAGACACAGGAGACAGACCCAAACUCUGAGCUGUGAAAUUCCCACGCCCUCGAGCUCAACUCGGGUACUUAUGGAGCGAGCCGCCAACUUCUGUGUUCAGACCAGCGCAGGCUUCAACCUACGGUAAUUGUAUGACUGACAUGUUAUAUUUGUUUUGCCUUAUCAGAGCUUUAUGUCUGAUUUUUUUUGUUUUGUUUUUACUUAUUAUACUGUGAUAUAUGACUGUUUUUGAUAUUUAUUUUUUUUUACACAAAUAUUCUGUGCAUUGCUGCAGCACGGCAUGCUAUAACCCAUUUCGAACAUGGUUCGUGGCACUGAUCAACCAAUGGUAAUAACACAGAUGACGCCAUGUUUCCAAAGGGUUUUCUGUAAUACAGAAACAGUGAUUUCAGAUGUCAACUUUACUUACCAAAGAGUAGAAAACAUGUACAUAAGCAGUUAUAGAUUUUUUUUGUUUUUCAAACUGCACUUAAAAUUUUUUUAAAAAGAUUCUGUACUCAGCAGUAGUACGUUUUUCCAGCAAAUUUGUAGCUUUAAAGACAAAGCAUAGGAACUAUUUUACACUGGGGGAAGGAUAAAUUACAUAAUUUGUAAUUUAGAGUGUAAAUGUUUUUUUUUGUUUUUGUUUGUUUUAUUUGUUAGAAAAUUAUCAUAGAGCCAUGUUAUAGUGCAGUAACCCACUCCAGGGUUAGCUCGAAGACAUAUCGUGCUGCAUCUCUGAGUGAUUGAAGGAACUCUGGCCCAGGCCUGUUUUGGGUUACUACUUACUAAACUAACUGUGACUUACUUUUUCUUAUUUGUUAAUACUCAUUAAUACUAUUUUUACUUAAAAAAUUAAUUGCUGCAGAAAACAAAUUUUUCUCUUUGCAGAUUUUAGGAAAUUUUACCGCAGAUUUCCAUGGGGACUAAUUAAAGACUGGAGUACAUGCUUUGAAGGUAGAUAUUAAGAAGAUAAUCCUUCUAAUUAGUAUAGCCAGUCAUAGCUGUAAAUAAAUACUGCAUUUAAAAUGAGGAUUUACAUGCGUGCAGAAACAAAACCCAUGUUGGCAGACACUGUGGCACGUUUUCUGUUUUUAUCAUUUUGAGGAAGUCAAUGCAGUAUUAAAAAGGCAAUACAAGCUGGUUCAGAAGCACUUCGGAGGUUCCUCACCAUGGGCAUGAGCUUGCCCUGCUGCUGUAUGCUUCUGAUUUUGAACAUUAUCUUCUAAACUGAUUGAAAUGAGACAGGUGAUAUGCCUGUAUGGAUUUCAAUCACACCGUUUCAAUUCAGUUUUCUUAAAAUGUAUUUUUCAUUUCAGUAUGUAUUACUUCUAAAGGAUUAUUGCUUAUUCCUACGCAGUCUUCCUACUCAUUGUUCAGAAUAACUUUCAAACCCGACUGCAAGCAGGUAACCAGGCAACAGACACAACGUCGAGGGAUCAGAAGGAGAAGUAUGAUUAAAUUCAAAACAGUGAAAUAAGACCUUCAAUAUCCGCUUUAAAACCAUAAAAUUGUAGGAACAUAACACAGGUUAAUAAGAUCUAGCAUCUUUCUAGAGGCCGGCUAGCCAAGUCUCCAUGACAACCAGAGAGAUAAGGAGUGGUGACCCUGUCCGUUUGAGUUACACUUAUUUAUAAUUGCACUGCAACUCCACAAAUUGUAAACAGAAAAUGAAAAAGUGAGUGAGACUGGCUCGAAAACUAUAGCAACACAAAGUUUAAAGCCAUGCUCGACCAAGCUGAUAGCUCAAUCCAGCCAUUGUGAUCAAUGAGAUAUAUUGUAAGUGAAAAAACUUCAAAGUCAGAAAAAGAAGAGCCUGCCUUUGUUUCAGUUAGUUUGUAUAGUCAGUGAGAGAGUGAAAAGGCAGCAUGUAACAUCUUGAACUGCCUGCUGCUAAUAACAUCCAGCAAGUACCCAUAUGCAUGAAUCAUGUCAGAAAAGGGAAAGGCAGGCACUUGAAUUGGCCGCUGCUAACAACAUCCAGAAAACCCAAAAUAACUGCAAAUUGUUGCAACUGGAGAAAUGAACAGCAGCAUAUUGUAGCGUUCCAGGGAAACCAAAGGGAGGUAGACGGCCACAGCAAAAGCUCAUUCCCGUUUUAUUGAGAAGGACAGCACACCACAACACAGCCCACAGCAGUGUGUAACCCUGUGAAAACAUGUAACAUUUAGACAUAACCAGACACGUUAUUGGACAACAUUCACAAGCACACUGGGACCACGACUCAGUCACGCUCCCCCCACCCCACAAGUGCACUCGUUCACAUGCACAGGCACUCAGGACAAUGACAAAACACAGAACAGCAACACAAAACCAUAUAACAUAUAACACAAAUAGUCCAGAUCGCUACAAUAUGAAUAACCAGAACUGUCAGCUACACAGAACAUCAAGAAAGCACCCUGAGUGAUUCAAUUGGAAGAAAAGAUUGUCUGGAGAACUUCAGUUACAAAAUGCGCCACUAGCUAGGUUUAUCAAUGAAAAAAAGAACAACUAAUAAUUAAGUACUUCAUUAAUGGACUGAACUGACCUACCGUGGAUUGGUUAAUUGUACUGGAAGAAUAUCUGUUGUUGCACAAAGCCGGGCUCUGUCAAGUGUCACGCUGUAUCAACCCUGCAAUCUGAAUGAAGUAUUUUCUCAAAUUGAAAUAAAGAAUAGAGAAUCACAGAAACUAUAUUUGGGGAAUGUAAUAUGUGUAUAUUUGCAGAAAGGUUGAUGUUUUGAAAUUUGAUAGGGGGUGUCAUAUACUGGUUUAUAAAAGGACUAGUUUAAAUCGUAGAAUAAUUACAAGGCGAUCUAUGAACUUGAAUAAAGGGUGUUGGAUUUUAUUUUCCUUAAAGAACAAAUUAAUUAGUGUUAAAAAUAGUUUGUGCAGUGAUUCUAAUUAAAGGAUAUAUAUACAACAGAUUGAUAAAGAAUUAAGUGUGAUUUUGUAAUAUCCUAUUAAUUGUAAUUCACUGAAUUUAUAUUUAUUUACUGACUCAUAAUUGAAGUUAUCCUGCUUGCAUAUUCAUAUUAUAUCUACUGACUUACAAAUAAUGUUAGUUCUUAUAGAAAGACAAAUUAUAUACAAUUAUGUAUUCUAGCUUUCACAUGUAGUUAAUAUCUACACUGAAGACCAUUAUUGCUAACUGAGAUUAAUGUGCUGAUUUAUGCUAUUUUGAGAUUAACAUUCUUUUCUAACUUUGUACCAUAUUUUAUUUGCAGGCAUUUCAUAAAAUGUAUAAAAGAUAUAACAGUGUUGCGUAUUUUAUUGUUCAAUUGUUUCCUCGCAAUCUUGAGCUCCACUGGGAGAAAUUUGUAACUAAGAGUGCUAACUGAAUUAAAUAACUUACACGCAUGAAUUAAUUGUUUUUAUUUGGGUAUGCUAAACACCAAUUCUUCCUACAAAAUAAAAGUGGACCAUUCACUGCAAGUCAUCUUGGGCAGUAAUUAUCUGCUUUAUGUUUUUUAUAAAUAAAGCUUUUAAAUAUUUUAACCGACCGCUCCGAGAACUUGCUUUCAGUUUGUU